rnacentral:rRNA from 1 species
GACGAACGCUGGCGGCGUGCUUAACGCAUGCAAGUCGAACGGAAAGGCCCUGCUUUUGUGGGGUGCUCGAGUGGCGAACGGGUGAGUAACACGUGAGUAACCUGCCCUUGACUUUGGGAUAACUUCAGGAAACUGGGGCUAAUACCGGAUAGGAGCUCCUGCUGCAUGGUGGGGGUUGGAAAGUUUCGGCGGUUGGGGAUGGACUCGCGGCUUAUAAGCUUGUUGGUGGGGUAGUGGCUUACCAAGGCUUUGACGGGUAGCCGGCCUGAGAGGGUGACCGGCCACAUUGGGACUGAGAUACGGCCCAGACUCCUACGGGAGGCAGCAGUGGGGAAUAUUGCACAAUGGGCGGAAGCCUGAUGCAGCAACGCCGCGUGCGGGAUGACGGCCUUCGGGUUGUAAACCGCUUUCGCCUGUGACGAAGCGUGAGUGACGGUAAUGGGUAAAGAAGCACCGGCUAACUACGUG